rnacentral:rRNA from 1 species
UACGGAGGGGACUAGCGUUGUUCGGAAUUACUGGGCGUAAAGCGCACGUAGGCGGCUUUGUAAGUUAGAGGUGAAAGCCCGGGGCUCAACUCCGGAAUUGCCUUUAAGACUGCAUCGCUAGAAUUGUGGAGAGGUAAGUGGAAUUCCGAGUGUAGAGGUGAAAUUCGUAGAUAUUCGGAAGAACACCAGUGGCGAAGGCGCCUUGCUGGCCGAUUUCUGACGCUGAGGCGCGAAAGCGUGGGGAGCAAACAGG